rnacentral:rRNA from 1 species
CCAGUGGGGAAUAUUGGACAAUGGGCGAAAGCCUGAUCCAGCCAUGCCGCGUGUGUGAAGAAGGUCUUCGGAUUGUAAAGCACUUUAAGUUGGGAGGAAGGGCAGUAAAUUAAUACUUUGCUGUUUUGACGUUACCGACAGAAUAAGCACCGGCUAACUCUGUGCCAGCAGCCGCGGUAAUACAGAGGGUGCAAGCGUUAAUCGGAAUUACUGGGCGUAAAGCGCGCGUAGGUGGUUCGUUAAGUUGGAUGUGAAAUCCCCGGGCUCAACCUGGGAACUGCAUUCAAAACUGACGAGCUAGAGUAUGGUAGAGGGUGGUGGAAUUUCCUGUGUAGCGGUGAAAUGCGUAGAUAUAGGAAGGAACACCAGUGGCGAAGGCGACCACCUGGACUGAUACUGACACUGAGGUGCGAAAGCGUGGGGAGCAAACAGGAUUAGAUACCCCCGUAGUCCGG